ensembl:lncRNA
GUGGGGAAGAACCGCGGUGCAGAGCCGGAGCCGGGAUCCUUCGCCUCCCGCAGCCCACGCAGGAAGCCCCGCUCCACAAGCGUUCGCGACGGGACCUUGCUGGACAGGUCCAGCUACGGUGAAAUGGGCCCUUUAAGCUUCUAGAACCCUCGGGCGAAGAAGCGCCAGUACACAUGCACACUCAUUCACUCACGGUCAGACACGGACACUCACUCGCGCGUCGCCGGAACCACUGAGGGGCCGGUGGUUCGGCACAGUCUCUGGACACCUCCCUACCCAGUGAAAAACCGCCUGAGGAGCUGAGUGAGGACCAGCUCUGCCUGCCCGGAACCCCACUUCCCUCACCUGGCCCUGGCCCCUGCCCCAGAAGAGAUGAAAGAGGCGGCGGCGGCGGCGGCAGCUGUUUCCGACAGGGUCCCCCAGCGGCGGUGCCUGCUGCGACCGGCGACCCUAAUCUACCGCCGCCGCCAUGUUGGAGGGUGAGGUCACCCCCGGCGUGCUUCCGUCACCGCCGGCGCGGGGCGGGCCGGGGCGCCGUGGGGCGCCGGAAGGGGCGGCUCGUUUUCCCCAGCGGAAGUACGGACCUUGCAGUUUUGGAGGUGUCUUCGUGCAGAGACUGUACCUGUGAAGCUUACCACGUUCUUAUCCGACAAGACCUGGCCUGUUCCUUGGUGAAUCAGCAAAAUACUGCAGAACUAUUUGUCAAGAGCAUUAACAUGAGGGAGGGGAAACAUGCACAAAAGGGGAUGUUAACUAUGUCUGUAACACUAUUUCUGUUAUUUUAAAAAUGAAGGCUGAGGCUGCUGGAUAGCUCAGUUGUUUAGAACUCUGAACAACAGGGUUGCCAGUUCGAUUCCCACAUGGGCCAGUGAGCUGCGCCCUCCGCAACUAGAUUGAAAACAGCAACUGGACUUGGAGCUGAGCUGUACCCUCUGCAACUAAGAUUGAAAGGACAAACUUGACUUGGAGCUGAUAGGUCCUGGAAAAAACACACUGUUCCCCAAUAAAGCCCUGGAAAUACACUGUUCCCCAGUAAAGUCCUGUUCCCCUUCCCCAAGAAAAUCUUAAAAAAAAAAAAAAAAAAAAUGAAGGCUUUAGGCAAAUGGGACAAAUACUAAUUGUCAACUUGGGGUGGUGGUACAUAAUUACUAUUUGAAUUAUUCUUUGUACUGUUGAUGUAAGAAACAUCCAAACCUGUAGAGAAUUUUUAUAAGUUUAUGUGAGCCAAACUGACAUGGUGGAGAGCAAGAUAUCAAAUGCUCUGGAAAAUGAAAGUUUUGCAGCUUCUUUUAUGCAUUUGAAAAUAAGGAGGGAAAGUAAGAUUACAUGAUGGUGGGAGAAAGGUGUGAACUGGAUUGCAGGAUAGUUAGCAAGUUUAUUUGCUUUAUUGGGGGUGGUUAUGGUUUCUUUCUAAGGUGUGUUAACUUGGAUGCACAGAAACAAUGGACAGGCCUUGCUGAAGGCAAAGAUGAGCCUUUACCAAAGAAGUUAUAUGCCUAGGGCGUGACUACCCACCAUGACCUGCUCAGUUAGAAAGUUAUGAUCAGAUAGAUCACCCUUUGAGGUUUCUUCCAAAGAACACCUUUGUUUUCAUCCACAGUACUUUUCUGUAUUUUUAAUGUCUCAAAAUUUCAAUAAAUAAAUCAUAAAAAUCAGCACACUGUUUUCCAAAAAAACAAAAGUGUAGUGAUCUGGACUGUGUUACAUCUGUUCCAAACAUUAAUUUCAUAAAUGAUUAGACAUGUGGCAUUAGAUAGCUGCUCCCACUCACCAACC